rnacentral:sRNA from 1 species
GUUUAUUUGAUAGUACCUUACUACUUGGAUAACCGUGGUAAUUCUAGAGCUAAUACAUGCUGAAAACCCCGACUUCGGGAGGGGUGUAUUUAUUAGAUAAAAAACCAAUGCCCUUCGGGGCUUCUUGGUGAUUCAUGAUAACUUCUCAGAUCGCAUGGCCUUGCGCCGGCGACGGUUCAUUCAAAUUUCUGCCCUAUCAACUUUCGAUGGUAAGGUAUUGGCUUACCAUGGUUUCAACGGGUAACGGGGAAUUAGGGUUCGAUUCCGGAGAGGGAGCCUGAGAAACGGCUACCACAUCCAAGGAAGGCAGCAGGCGCGCAAAUUACCCAAUCCCGACACGGGGAGGUAGUGACAAUAAAUACUGAUACAGGGCUCUUUUGGGUCUUGUAAUUGGAAUGAGUACAAUUUAAACCUCUUAACGAGGAACAAUUGGAGGGCAAGUCUGGUGCCAGCAGCCGCGGUAAUUCCAGCUCCAAUAGCGUAUAUUAAAGUUGUUGCAGUUAAAAAGCUCGUAGUUGAACCUUUGGCCUGGCUGGUAGGUCCGCCUCACCGCGUGUACUUGUCCGGCCGGGCCUUUUCUUCUGGAGAACCGCAUGCCCUUCACUGGGUGUGUUGGGGACCAGGACUUUUACUUUGAAAAAAUUAGAGUGUUCAAAGCAGGCCUUUGCUCGAAUACGUUAGCAUGGAAUAAUAGAAUAGGACGUGCGGUCCUAUUUUGUUGGUUUCUAGGACCGCCGUAAUGAUUAAUAGGGACAGUCGGGGGCAUCAGUAUUCAAUUGUCAGAGGUGAAAUUCUUGGAUUUAUUGAAGACUAACUACUGCGAAAGCAUUUGCCAAGGAUGUUUUCAUUAAUCAGUGAACGAAAGUUAGGGGAUCGAAGACGAUCAGAUACCGUCGUAGUCUUAACCAUAAACUAUGCCGACUAGGGAUCGGGCGGUGUU